rnacentral:misc_RNA from 1 species
GAUGUCCCUUUUGGCCGAGGCACAGCGUGUCAAGGCCAAGAAGGAGAAGCUCGACAAGAAGAGACAUCAAAUUACAAAGGAGGAGGCAUCAGCUAUCAAGGGUGCAAGUCAUUCAUGGUACAAGACUAUGAUCUCAGAUUCCGAUUAUGCAGAGUUCGACAACUUCACAAAGUGGCUCGGAGUUUCUCAGUAAAGGAACUUUUCUUUUGUGAACUCAUGUUAGAAAGUUUUUUGUUUAGUCUGCUGUUUUGUUCCCAAGACAUGAAAGAUACUGAGUGGGAGGAAAACUACGGCCUCGUUGCCUGGCUUUUCCUUGCCUACAUUUUGAGAUUUCAUUUUAGCGUCGAGUAUUACUUCAUAUGGUAUGGUAUUAAGGAUUUUGAUGGAAUAGUUUGUUUUUGAUGGU